UUUGGUUAUAAACUAUUUUUUAGUGGAGUAAUAUGGGGUAUUUAAGGAAAAUAAUUUAAUAUCAAAAUCAAGUUUUAUCAGUCAGAAAGAUUAAAACUCCCAUUAUUGAUCAAGAUUUUUCUAUCAAUAAAGCCAUUUUUAACUCUCUAAACAAAUACAGAGUGUAUAAGCACAGUGUGUUGCAUCCUGAACUUUGCUAGAAAGUACCAAAGAAAAUGCUAUUCCUGUCUUACUGACAAAGCCGCUCAGGAUUGAUUAAGAAUUGUGCUUCAGUUAAGGAAUAUGCUAAAUGUGUGUUUGUUGUAUGAAUGAAUUCUGUUUAUUUUGAGGGAGUUUGUGACACUUUGAUCUUGUUUCCCAACUACAAUCUCCUUUAGGAAGACUGGGGCAGAAAUAUUUUCUACAAUUUGUCCUCCUAAUCUCAGCGUAGGUCUAUAGUGCAAUCUAAAUACCAGAUUGCAAUGAGCAGAGUCAGAUUAGAAUUAGCUAAAUUAGCUGGUACUUAGAGCAGUGCAGCCAUGGCAACAAGGAGGUUAGCGGACACUAGAUCCCUGAUCUUCGGUUUUGUGGCCUGCAUUGACUUAAAUGCUACCAUAGCAACAUUCCUGUCUGCAGCAAAGCUAGUUUAUUUAAAGCCAGCAUCAGUAUGUCUACAUAAACUGCCAGUAAGCCUUUGAAUUUCAUAGUAUACACACUCUUAAGGAUAGCGGAUGUCCAACAGCUGUGAGAACUCUGGAAAAACUGGAAGAACUGAUGCUACUACUGGCAGAAAAAAAAAAAAAAAAAAAGAAAUUUCCCUCACUGCAUUCAUUCUCUUCUACUCAAUUAGUAGGAAGAAUUCUACAGCAAUAAGGAAUAUGCAACGUGAGAAAAUUCUAGCAGAGGACAAUUCUACACAAAGAAUCUGGAUUAUUAGUAGUAGCAGCCAUGGUAUUAAAUAAGGUGACAUUGCCUCAAUAUCCAUCAUUAGUGAUUCAGACACAGGAAGAAAUGACAGAAUUAAAAUGUAUGAAUGUAUGAAUAUGUCAUGUGAUCUAAAUACACACCGAGAGAGAGAAAGAGUGCAUAGCAGAUUCGAAUCAAGUUGCUUUUAAAAAUUUGGUUGAAGUUAAGUGCAACAGAAUAUUUCAGUAUUUUUAUUUUUUUUUUUAAGAGAAGAGCACCCUCAAUUUUGAAGGAUUUGGUUGGUCAUCCUUUCUUCAUCGUUAUGGGUUUUUCACAAUCUGUGAGUUAAUUCAUUCUCAGGUUUCUAACUCCCACACUAAGUGAUACACCUUCAUAAUGAAGAUAUCAUCAGAAAUCGCUUCUUGGGUAUGAGAUGACUGAAAAGGAGAGCAGACUUUGUUGGGCCAUAGGGUUUGUUUCUAAAGAAGGUUCUGAAAGAAUCUCCAGAGGUUUGUGGAGCUGUAUGAGGAGUGGAUGAGGAGCACAGACUCCUAUUUAGUGGAAAAGGAGUGGCCUGAUACUGAAUGGUUUGCUUUGUCCAUGGACUAAUUGGCAGAGAACAUAGGCUCCUAAAGCAGACUUCUGUUGGAAGAACCUUGGUGACAGAACAUGCUGGGGAAAUAGAGACAGAGUUACUGAAAUCAUGAAUUCCAUGAAUUCAUGCCAAGUAUGUGUGCAUUGGUCUGCUUGGUCUGUAUAAAUUACCAUCUAAAUCGGUGUUGUAAAUAAAGUCCUGCACUGGUGUGGAUUUCUUUCUAUU
rnacentral:lncRNA from 1 species